AUUGAACGCUGGCGGCAGGCCUAACACAUGCAAGUCGAACGAGUGGCGGACGGGUGAGUAAUGUCUGGGAAACUGCCUGAUGGAGGGGGAUAACUACUGGAAACGGUAGCCAAUACCGCAUACCAUCGGAUGUGCCCAGAGGGGAUUAGCUAGUAGUUGGGGGAAAGGCUACCCUAGUCGACGAUCCCUAGCUGGUCUGAGAGGAUGACCAGCCACAAUGAAACUGAGACACGGUCCAGACUCCUACGAGAGGCAGCAGUGGGGAAUAUUUCGCAAUGUGCGCAAGCCUGAUGCAGCCAUGCCGCGUGUAUGAAGAAGGCCUUCGGGUUGUAAAGUACUUUCAGCGGGGAGGCGUUACCCGCAGAAGAAGCACCGGCUAACUCCGUGCCAGCAGCCGCGGUAAUAC
rnacentral:rRNA from 1 species